UACAGAGGUCCCAAGCGUUGUUCGGAUUUAUUGGGCGUAAAGAGCGUGUAGGCGGUUUGGUAGGUCCGCUGUGAAAACUCGAGGCUCAACCUCGAGACGCCGGUGGAAACCAUCAGGCUAGAGUCCGGAAGAGGAGAGUGGAAUUCCUGGUGUAGCGGUGAAAUGCGCAGAUAUCAGGAAGAACACCCGUGGCUAAGGCGGCUCUCUAGUACGGUACUGACGCUGAGACGCGAAAGCGUGGGGAGCGAACAGG
rnacentral:rRNA from 1 species